rnacentral:rRNA from 1 species
UACGUAGGUGACAAGCGUUGUCCGGAAUUACUGGGCGUAAAGCGUGCGUAGACGGCUAUCUAAGUCGGGUGUGAAAGCCCCGGGCUCAACCUGGGAAUUGCAUUCGAGACUGAAUAGCUAGGGUACGGUAGAGGGAAGCGGAAUUUCCGGUGUAGCGGUGAAAUGCGUAGAUAUCGGAAGGAACAUCAGUGGCGAAAGCGGCAGACUGGACCCUUCCUGACGCUGAUGCGCGAAAGCUAGGGGAGCAAACGGG